rnacentral:snRNA from 1 species
GGAUGUGAGGGCGAUCUGGCUGCGACAUCUGUCACCCCAUUGAUCGCCAGGGUUGAUUCGGCUGAUCUGGCUGGCUAGGCGGGUGUCCCCUUCCUCCCUCCCCGCUCCAUGUGCGUCCCUCCCGAAGCUGCGCGCUCGGUCGAAGAGGACGACCUUCCCCGAUAGAGGAGAGGACCGUUCUUCGGUCAAGGGUAUACGAGUAGCUGCGCUCCCCUGCUAGAACCUCCAAACAAGCUCUCAAGAAUAUUUUCUUUUGCAUAAAAACCCUCAUUAAUCUUUCUAUUUUCAAGUUUGAGAAUUACUU